rfam:Oryza sativa Japonica Group DNA, chromosome 12, cultivar: Nipponbare, complete sequence.
UUUAGGUGUAGUUAUAAUUUUUCAUGCCCAACUUUGAUCGUCCGUUUUAUUUGAAAAUUUUUUAAAAAAAUUUAAAAACUUAAGCCAUGCAUAAAGUACUAUUUGUGUUUUAUCAUCUCAUAACAAUAAAAAUACUAAUUAUAAAAAAAUUUUAAAUAAGACAGACGAUUAAAGUUGGGCACGAAAACUUAUGGUUGCACUUAAA